CCUACGGGAGGCAGCAGCUAAGAAUCUUGCGCAAUGGGCGAAAGCCUGACGCAGCAACGCCGCGUGGGGGAAGAAGGUCUUCGGAUUGUAAACCCCUUUUGCGAGGGAAGAAGUUCUGACGGUACCUCGCGAAUAAGCCACGGCUAACUACGUGCCAGCAGCCGCGGUAAUACGUAGGUGGCAAGCGUUGUCCGGAUUUACUGGGCGUAAAGCGCCCGCAGGCGGCCAGGUAAGUUUCAGGUGAAAUCUCCCGGCUCAACCGGGAGGGGUCCUGGAAAACUGCUUGGCUUGAGGCAGGGAGAGGGAUGCGGAAUGCCAGGUGUAGCGGUGAAAUGCGUAGAUAUCUGGCGGAACACCAGUGGCGAAGGCGGCAUCCUGGCCCUGUCCUGACGCUCAGGGGCGAAAGCGUGGGGAGCGAACCGGAUUAGAUACCCCUGUAG
rnacentral:rRNA from 1 species